rnacentral:sRNA from 1 species
AAUAAGCCGAAUUCCCUGCACCGGGAAACGGGGGAACCACUUUGGGUGAAUUGAUCUCGCAACGGAGGGAUCAUAGGGGACCUUCAACCGAAUCCUUAAGCUAACCUCGCAGGCAUUGGAAGGAG